rnacentral:rRNA from 1 species
UACAGAGGGGGCUAGCGUUGCUCGGAAUGACUGGGCGUAAAGGGCGCGUAGGCGGAUGACACAGUCAGAUGUGAAAUUCCCGGGCUUAACCUGGGGGCUGCAUUUGAUACGUGUUGUCUAGAGUGAGGAAGAGGGUUGUGGAAUUCCCAGUGUAGAGGUGAAAUUCGUAGAUAUUGGGAAGAACACCGGUGGCGAAGGCGGCAACCUGGUCCUUGACUGACGCUGAGGCGCGAAAGCGUGGGGAGCAAACAGG